GAUGCGCCGUCUCUCUUGCUUUCUCUCCCUCCCUCCCUCCCUGCGACAUUAGAAAAAAUCCCAAAAGAAAAAUUUAACAAGAAGCGAUUAUAUUCAAAAAGAAAAAAAAAGAAGAGGAAAAUGGAGGCACCAAAGACCAUUCGGCAUGAAAUCGGAGGAGUCCAGAACGACGCGCUGCGAUUCGGUCUCCACGGCGUUAAGAGCGACCUCGUCGGAUUUUACCCUCUCCAAUCUGCUUACGAGUAAAAGAAACACUAAAGUAUCAGGUGUUUCCAGAUUAGGGUUUAGCAUUGGCGAAGUCGGAGGUAGAGUUGUCAAUCUUUGUAAUAAAAAAGUUCUGGAUUCAUCUUCAAUAGGGUAAUUGGCCACUACUUGUCUGUAUUUAAAAGCCCGCAAUGUUGAAUAUAUUAUUGUUCUUUGAGCCCUGUUAUUUACUUUUCCCUCUUCGAAAACUUUUAAAAUCUCCAUUUUCCCGGUUAACAAACAUCAUUUUCUGUGAAAAAGAAAUUCAUCUAAAAGACAAAAGGACUAGAGGAAAAGGAAAAAGAAGAUGGAACCAGUGGUGGAAACAAUAAGUGGAUACCACGGUUUGCAACGGUUCAACUUAAUCAAGCUUAUAUUUGUUGCCGGUGCCAAUUAUAUUAGCUGUUUGACUCAAUCAACCACUCAUUUGGUAUGUUGGAGAUUUGAAGGAAGGAAAUAUGAGCUUGCUAAGAAGUUAAAGACGAUUGUAUAAAGGAAGGAAAGCAUUUGCCUGAGGGUCUUUAUAUGUUGCGAAGAUGGGAGACCCUUCUGUAGAGGUUACCGAUGAUAACCGUGAUGCUUCCCAUUCAGCUAAGGCCAAAGCCAUGGAUGCCAUUUUUGAAGGAAUCUCCUUGGUGAAGACUUAGGUCUAUUGAACUCAAAGGAGCUUGAGCAUCAACUAGAGCCAUCCUUGAAACAUGUCCGCUCCACCAAGACUGGUCAAGCUAUGGCAAGUGCUCUCAAUGUUGUACAAACAUCUCAUUCGUAUGGGGAUUUAAUGCUCCUAAUGAAAGCUACUGAACUGCAACAAGAAAGGCCCUGGAGUUAUAUCGUUGAAAUGGCCAGGAUUGAAUCGGUGAGUCCAAUUUGAAACUCUUAUUCGUCUUUCCAUAAAAAUACAUUUGUAUUUGAACUUGAACUUUAAACUUGAUGGUUUACCGAUCAUUCCACUCUUAUCAGAGCUGACAUGCUCAAUUGUUUUUACGCUUAAAAUUAAUCACUUGUAGAUUUACAGGGAAGUUGAGUUCCUUCUAGAUGUGACGAGGUAUUGCAGAGAAUAAGUUAAGAUAGUAACCACUAUUCAUGCAAGCUUGUGAAUUAGCAUUUUCCGAAUGUUAUGUUACAAAUGGAAUGCAAGCCCCGUGGUUUAUUUUAAGGUUUAAAUAUUGUUAUGAAUGUUACGGUUUAUUUUAAGGUUUAUGGUUUACCGAUCAUUCCACACUUAUUAGAGCUUUGAGUUCAGUACAAGAUUUCCUUGAUUAAAUUUCCUUGAUUAAGUUAAUGUAUUAUAUCUUUUAUUACCAAGAUUUACUUGAUUAAGAAAAUGCAUUGUAUUUUUUAUUA